UAAUUCAAAAGUUGAAGAAAGAGUAAUAAUGAAUCAUUUAGUUCAGAGAGCUAUUGUUUGGUGAGAAAUAGUGUAAAUAUCAUUAUGAAAAUCAUCUUCUAUUACUGGUAUGCUGAAGAAAGUAAGUGUACCCGUUGAGGCACAUCGUUACCAAAACCGUAUAUUGAUAGAUAUACUAAGCGUCUGUACAUAUGCAUAAUAUUUACAGGAACAAAGGUGGUACCGCGAUUAUUCGUCCUUUAU
rnacentral:ncRNA from 1 species